CCUACGGGGGGCAGCAGUGAGGAAUAUUGGUCAAUGGGCGGGAGCCUGAACCAGCCAAGUCGCGUGAAGGAAGAAGGCGCUAGGCGUUGUAAACUUCUUUUGUAGGGGAAUAAAGGGCGCCACGCGUGGCGUUGUGAGUGUACCCGAAGAAAAAGCAUCGGCUAACUCCGUGCCAGCAGCCGCGGUAAUACGGAGGAUGCGAGCGUUAUCCGGAUUUAUUGGGUUUAAAGGGUGCGUAGGCGGAAUAUCAAGUCAGCGGUAAAAGUUCGGGGCUAAACCCCGUCGUGCCGUUGAAACUGAUGUUCUUGAGUGGGCGAGAAGUAUGCGGAAUGCGUGGUGUAGCGGUGAAAUGCAUAGAGAUCACGCAGAACUCCGAUUGCGAAGGCAGCAUACCGGCGCCCAACUGACGCUGAAGCACGAAAGCGUGGGUAUCGAACAGGAUUAGAUACCCCAGUAGUC
rnacentral:rRNA from 1 species